AAUUACCCAAGGAUGAAAUCCUUUUUUCUAUUUUGAGAAACAAUUAGUUUGCUAAGCAAACCUUGCCCAAACAGCUUCAAACUUUACCCAAGAGCUAAUAUGUCCAAGAUAAGCUUACACAAAAUUUCCAACAAUUCUUAGUGCUCUAUUUUUAAACACUUCUAGCACCCAAAAUUAUUUGUGGUGACCAACAUAUUAAUCUAACACAUCCAUACAACAUGCUAGCUAGCGGGAGUAGCGAACUAACUAACUACGACUAAUUUAGACUCAGAGACCAUGAAACUGCGGUGAUCUCUAGUUCAGCCAAAACACCGGACAACUGGUGAGCAACGCCCGAAGUAUUGCGCAAAACACAAUCUAAAUCGUUUCUUCUCCAAUCCACCCCGCACAAACACGGGAUAAGGACGAUGACGCUACCUAUAGCCGACCACAACACACAAGAACCAAUUCUUUCGAACUUUCUUCUACAUUUACAUAUAUAUCUGAACCAUGCCUACUCUAACACGCGACAAGCCGAUGAAGCGACAGGAACACAUAAGGCCACACGGAGAAAGCACGCCGAGCACAACGGCCUCCUGGACAUAAGAAGCUGCAGGAGAAGACGACACUAAUUUAAUAAAUUAGACACUUAGCUAACAUUUUCCAAUUGAAAAGAAGUCGAUGACAAACCGGCCAGCUAUACCUUGACGAGACGAUGAAGCUUUUGAACGUAGGCACGGAGAGGACGCUGCGGGACUCGAUGGACACAGGGCGCUGUGCAGUGGAGCACGCAGAGGUGAGCGCGAGCUAGACGCAAACGACGCUGGCGUUCAACAGCCAGAGGCCACCACGCGAGGAUGUAGGGAGACUUCUAGGAGCUGGCAUGUGCUAGAAGCGUGGAGAGGGCCUUGGCAUCGAUGGCUUGAGAGACAUAGGAUGAUAGAACAUUUCCAGAGACUUAUACGUAUUCUAGAUAGGAGAAACAAAAGCAACAUGCAGAUAAGGAGAGGUGACGUGAGGGAGUUGGCCUAGGAUAGGAUUGAAGACGUCCU
rnacentral:lncRNA from 1 species